CUUAGCACAAGGGUAUGUUAGCAAACUCAGCCAUGGAAACUUCAGAAAGCAUCAGCUGGGAGUCUCAGUGUCUUGGAUGCACUGUUCUCACUCUAGAAUGCAAGAUACUGUAGCCUAUUGUGUGUGUGUGUGUGUGGGGGGGUGCUGGAGCUAUACAUGCUCCACUUUCUCUGGUGAUAGCGGUUAAGCUAAGGGUGGGGAAGAGUGCAGGUUGGUCCCCUAAUCUCUGAUAUGUUGAAUUUUGUCCCCACAAAAGACAGAUUAAUGUUCUAAUGCCCAGUACCUCAGAACAUGACCUUAUUCAGAGAUAGCAUUCCUGCAAAUGUAAUUACAGUGGUUAAUAUGAGGCUCCUUAAUCCAAUAUGACGCUGUCUAUGUAAGAGGAGGACAGAAGACACAGAGUCAUGGACAUGAUGGGGGAACGCCCUGAAAUAAGGGACUCUGAGACUGAAGUGAGGCGCGUAAGCCAAGGAACACCAAAGACUGCCAUUAGUCCUCAGAAGCUGUGAGAGGCAAGAAGGCUCUUUCUGUAUCUAUUGAGAUCAUGUGAUUUUGUCCUGGAUUCUAUUUAUGUCUAUUACGUUUAUUGAUUUGCAAAUGUUGGAACAUCUUUGUAGCCCUGAAAUGAAACCAACUUGAUUAUGGUGUGUAAUCUUUUUAAUGUGCUAUUGAGUUUCAUCUGAAAGUAUUUGUUAAGGAUUUUCCGAUCUAUAAUAAUAAUAAUCGAGAAUAUUGUCCUGUAAUUUUGGUUCCUUGGUGUGUUUUACCCAGUUUGGAUUUCUUUGUGAUACCAGUUUUGUAGAAUGAGUUUGGAAACAUUCCCUCCCUUUCUAUUUCAUGUAACAAUUUGAGAAUUGGCAUUAGUUGUUUUUGUAAGUUUGUUUAUUCACUGUUUGGUACUGGGGAUUGAACCCAUGGGUGCUCUACCACUGAGUUACACCCCCAGCCCUUUUAUAUUUUGAGGGAGGGUCUCAUUUAGUUGCUCAAGCUGACCUUGAACUUGCAAUUCUUCUGUCUCAGCCUUCUGAGUUGCUGGGGUCAUAGAUAAUGUGCAAUUUUGCCUGGCUGCUGUUAGUUCUU
rnacentral:lncRNA from 1 species